rnacentral:rRNA from 1 species
UACGUAGGGUGCGAGCGUUGUCCGAAAUUAUUGGGCGUAAAGAGCUUGUAGGCGGUCUGUCGCGUCUGCUGUGAAAAUCCGGGGCUCAACCCCGGACUUGCAGUGGGUACGGGCAGACUAGAGUGUGGUAGGGGAGACUGGAAUUCCUGGUGUAGCGGUGAAAUGCGCAGAUAUCAGGAGGAACACCGGUGGCGAAGGCGGUGGUCUGGGCCGGAACUGACGCUGAAUAGCGAAAGCGUGGGUAGCGAACAGG